CUUCCUGCGAGGGCGCCCAGCACAGAGUGGCCGGCAUCCGUCCUGGGGCCUCCACCCAGGCCCCCGAGGGGGCUGAGCUCCUAGAAGCCAGAGACCAGUCUCCUUCCACAUACUUCCUGUCCUCGCCGGCAAACGUCUGUGCAGGAGCUUCAUGCAUCCGGACUCCCCCGCACGCCCUAGGACGGGGUCGCACGGUCCUGGGGUUCCGAAGUGGAAACCGAGGCACAGAGUGGUUCAAACCCAGCGGGUGCGUUCCUCUCAGGACACCUGGGCAGCUGGACACCUGAGCGCCGGCCGUUGCGUGCUGGCGGGGUCUGUGUCUUCGACAAAGUGGCCAGAAGAGGGCACCCGUGCCCUGCGAGGCUGUGCCCCCGGCCCCCACCACCCCACCCCAGCCACAACCCCCACAGGCUUCGGGACCAGGUUGCGGGGUGCUCAGUGGGCAGCAGGGGGCCCCAGGGUGGGGCUGGCUAACCCAGGGGCCUCCUUCAGGGGUUGGAGCCCCAUUGGCCUCCAGCUGUGAGGGCAGCUCCACUUGCUUCCGGGGACCAGGCGGCCACUCUGGGGCAGCGUCCCCCAGGCACAGGGGGCCUCAGGGUCAUCUUCCCCACGGCUGCCCCAUCGGGCUCACGGUUUUCUGCCCACAGCUGCAGCUCUCCAUCCCCCCACCAACGACGACACCACAGUCCCCUCCUCAACCAAGCGGAUCCCCCAAACCUCCUCCUUGGCCGGUGGCGCCUGCCCACUAUGAGCCCCAGGCCGGGGCCUGCCUGUUCUGCUGUGCCCUGAGCGACACGUUCCCUCCCUCUGCCGGGCCCUGGUUGCCCCCCAAGGCCUCGCAGAGGCGGCUCCUUUCGAAGGCCGGUGAGCUCCCCACCCUUCCGGGCUGCCCGGCAGGCAGGCCAGGGACAGUGUCCCAUGUCUGCAGGUCAGUCCCAGGGGUCGGCGUUUGGCCAGGGUCCCCUUGUCUGGUGAAGGGGGGGCCGCGCUGUUUCGGGACGAACCCUGUGUGACCCUCACAGAGCCCCCGGCCCAGACGCAGGUGUCGUGGAGCUCCCGCUUCUCCCUCCGAAGCACAGGGCUCCCUGACCCUCGCAGUCUGCCUCUGCCGGGCGGUGGGGCUGGGGUGGGGCUCGGCCGUUCUCACAGCUUCCAGGAGGGUGAAGAGAACCUUCCAGGCAUUCACACACACACACACACACACAGGCAUGUGCACGCACAUGCACACACUCCAGCACACACACACGCACACUUUCUCUGACAUGCUCAUGCAUGCGCGCACGCACCGUCCUCUCCAGCACGCGCAUGCACACGUGUGCACACUCUCUGGCACACGCGUGCGCACACAGGUGUGUUGGCUCUCCGGUGGGCACAUGCACACGCACACACAUCUGUUUGCAUACGCGCUGCAUAUCGUGGGCUAAUGUGUGUUCCAGUGGCUUCCACGGCAGCAGCCUCUGAGAAAUCCAGUCACAGACCUGGAGGGCGUAAGCCGGAAGGACAGCCCCUACAAUGUCCUGGCGAGGGUACACGUGGGUGGGAAGCUCCAGGGGGUCCCCCGGCAGCUCUGCUGGGAGGGGCGGCAGAGGGCACCUGAGGGGGAUCUGCCUGUGAGUCAGCCUCCCGGACCCGGGGGCGCCUGCAGACCCUGAGACAGGUGCAUUCCCAGGAAACUGGGGGGCACCGUUCUGGGGUCUGCACGUACGUCCUCGUCAUCCGGCUGCAGCCGAGGAGAUACUGUGGCCCCAGGGGGAGCUGAGGAGCCAGGCUCGGGGUGGAGGCCCGUGAUCUCGGGCUGGCUCCAUCGGACUCCCGGACCCACCCGCGCCCUGCUGCGUGGGCACGCUGGUGGCCCUGUGCCCGCACGCGUGCCUGGCUGGAGCUGGUGCUCCUUCCCUGCAGAACGACGCCCUCUCCUGCCCCGCUCAGCUGACGGCGGCCAGGGUGGCUGCCCUGGCCUGAUGUGGGUCCGAGGGACCCCCAUGCCGGGGGCUGGCCCCGAAGGCCUGGGUCUGUUCUGUGCCCUGUAGACACCAGACAGGGUGUGGCCUGCCAGGUCCCUGGUGGGGGGAGUCGUGUCUCCUGCCCCCAGCGUGGGCCUCCCAGGCCCCAGGUCCCGAGGUAGACGUCCAUGAGGACAGGACUCGCCUCCCUCCCUGACCGCCUGUCCCAGCGCCCUCUGGACCCCAGGAAGACCAGCCCGUCCGCCCUCAGUAGCGUCUGGCCCGCUGGCUGGUCAGGACCCCUCAGAACACCAGUGCUCGUUGGUAGACGCUGGAAAUCACACGCGGACGCAGAAAAACAGUGUGAAUGUUUCCUACACUGAAGCAAGGCGGCAAGUCAGGGGGCGGGGAGGGGUCCACACUGGGAAGGGGACGCCCACUCCGGCCCCCUCCCUCCCGCAGGGCACAGGCUGGUCCUCCUGGCACCGCCCCCAGCUGCACCUGGCUGACCCCUACCCGUCCUCAGUCCUCACCGCGAGUCCACGGGGCCCUGGGGAGACGGUCCUGGGUCCUCCCGGGCGGCCAGGGCAGCACCGCAGCCCGGACCACACCCCUGCCUUGCGAGAGUGCACGUCCGGUGGGCUCCACGGCCGCUCCCCCUUCCGUCCACCCCGUGAUCUCUUACCCAUUUCUUCCCCAAAAGGAAACUUAUUUUUGUAUUUUUACCUUUUCUAUAAUGAACAGGUUUUUGAAAACUUAUUUCAUUAAAAUGAUUGAAAAAACAGAAA